AACGAACGCUGGCGGCAGGCCUAACACAUGCAAGUCGAACGCCCCGCAAGGGGAGUGGCGCACGGGUGAGUAACGCGUGGGAAUAUGCCCUUCGGUUCGGAAUAACACAGGGAAACUUGUGCUAAUACCGGAUACGAUCUACGGAUGAAAGAUUUAUCGCCGAGGGAGUAGCCCGCGUAGGAUUAGCUUGUUGGUGAGGUAAUGGCUCACCAAGGCGACGAUCCUUAGCUGGUCUGAGAGGAUGAUCAGCCAAACUGGGACUGAGACACGGCCCAGACUCCUACGGGAGGCAGCAGUGGGGAAUAUUGGACAAUGGGCGAAAGCCUGAUCCAGCCAUGCCGCGUGAGUGAUGAAGGCCUUAGGGUUGUAAAGCUCUUUCGCCAGGGAAGAUAAUGACGGUACCUGGAAAAGAAGCCUCGGCUAACUCCGUGCCAGCCGCCGCAGUAA
rnacentral:rRNA from 1 species